rnacentral:lncRNA from 13 species
GAUGGUGGCAACUCACUGAUCUUUCUCUCCCGCCUUCCCCUGCAGAACCUGAACGUGUCCUUCCAGGGCUGCGGAAUGGACUCGCUGAGCGUGCGGGCCAUGGACACUGACACGCUGACGCAGGUCAAGGAGAAGAUCCUGGAGGCCUUCUGCAAGAACGUGCCCUACUCCCAAUGGCCACGUGUGGAGGAUGUCGACCUCGGUGGGUGGGGAUGGGGUGGAGCCCCAUCAGGCUGCUUCAGCUGGGGCUGGCCCCUGCCUUGACGGAAACACUCCUUCUACCUGGCAUGGUGCAUGAACGUGGUGACACGGAGAGGAUCUGAUGAGGCCCCUCGGCCAGAAGCUCUUGCUCUGUGGGAGACAAGUCCUGCAGUGUGGGCGAGUGAAGGGCAGCAGCAAAAAGCCUUCAGGAACGGCUUCCUCAUUCCUAAAGGAGGGGUGCAACCCCUAAAAGUGGUUCGCCUCCAGUACACAGAGCUACAUCCUUCGGGACCUGGAUGA